rnacentral:rRNA from 1 species
GACGAACGCUGGCGGCGUGCCUAAUACAUGCAAGUAGAACGCUGAAGGGGGAGCUUGCUUCUCUGGAUGAGUUGCGAACGGGUGAGUAACGCGUAGGUAACCUGCCUGGUAGCGGGGGAUAACUAUUGGAAACGAUAGCUAAUACCGCAUAAGAGUAGAUGUUGCAUGACAUUUGCUUAAAAGGUGCAAUUGCAUCACUACCAGAUGGACCUGCGUUGUAUUAGCUAGUUGGUGGGGUAACGGCUUACCAAGGCGACGAUACAUAGCCGACCUGAGAGGGUGAUCGGCCACACUGGGACUGAGACACGGCCCAGACUCCUACGGGAGGCAGCAGUAGGGAAUCUUCGGCAAUGGACGGAAGUCUGACCGAGCAACGCCGCGUGAGUGAAGAAGGGUUUCGGAUCGUAAAGCUCUGUUGUAAGAGAAGAACGAGUGUGAGAGUGGAAAGUUCACACUGUGACGGUAUCUUACCAGAAAGGGACGGCUAACUACGUG